CUUUAGGAUUUAAACAUUUGGCUUUUUACUGCUAACUAAUGGGCCUGCAGGCUAGGAAACAUAAAAGAACCCUCAUUUGUAUUCCUAGUGAAUAACCGUCCUGUGUCUAGGAGAGUCUGGCAGUAAAUGACAGGAAGCUGUCUCUAAAUUACAUCACAGGCCAGUUCUACUGUAUUCCAUUGACGUUUAUUAUGGAACCAUUGUAGGAAUGACAUGGUUCCUGUCUCCAAAAGCUAGCUAGCAUAUCCCAUCCAUUAUGUUCAAGAUUCUGGAGCUGGUGGCAGAGAUGGGAGAAACACAGACAGAAGGAACAGCCCACCAUGCACUGACUGUCGUCAAGGCUUCUUAUAUGAUAGAGAAUAAACUUAUUUAUUGGAGGG